rnacentral:rRNA from 1 species
GAUGAACGCUGGCGGCGUGCCUAACACAUGCAAGUCGAGCGAUUUACUUCGGUAAAGAGCGGCGGACGGGUGGGUAACGCGUGGGUAACCUGCCUCAUACACAUGGAUAACAUACCGAAAGGUAUGCUAAUACAAGAUGAUAUAAGAGAUUCGCAUGGAUUUCUUAUCAAAGCUCCGGCGGUAUGAGAUGGGCCCGCGUCUGAUUAGCUAGUUGGUAAGGCAACGGCUUACCAAGGCGACGAUCAGUAGCCGACCUGAGAGGGUGAUCGGCCACAUUGGAACUGAGACACGGUCCAAACUCCUACGGGAGGCAGCAGUGGGGAAUAUUGCACAAUGGGCGAAAGCCUGAUGCAGCAACGCCGCGUGAGCGAUGAAGGCCUUCGGGUCGUAAAGCUCUGUCCUCAAGGGAGAUAAUGACGGUACUUGAGGAGGAAGCCCCGGCUAACUACGUGCCAGCCGCCGCUGUAAGAC